AGCGAACGCUGGCGGCGUGCUUAACACAUGCAAGUCGAGUGCGUAGCCCUUUGUAGCAAUACAGAGGGUGGGCGCACGGCGCACGGGUGAGUAACACGUGGGUAACCUGCCCUUCGGUGGGGAAUAACCCCGCGAAAGCGGGGCUAAUUCCGCAUAACAUUCCGGGGACACAUGUUCUCGGACUCAAAGGAGUGAUUCGCCGGAGGAGGGGCCCGCGCCCGAUUAGCUUGUUGUAGGGUAACGGCCUACCAAGGCUUUGAUCGGUAGCCGGUCUGAGAGGAUGGCCGGCCACACUGGAACUGAGACACGGUCCAGACUCCUACGGGAGGCAGCAGUGGGGAAUCUUGCGCAAUGGGCGAAAGCCUGACGCAGCGACGCCGCGUGGGGAUG
rnacentral:rRNA from 1 species